AUAGUUGUCUCAUUGGCAAUCAUACCACAUCUUCUUUUUUAUAUACCAGACCCCUCACACACAAUUAGUAUCAAGACAGAAACUUGGUCAAUUUGAAUGACCAUUUCCUUCUUUACUUCCUUGCCAUUACUCAAUCUAGUUUUUUAUCUUUUUUCCCAAUAAUCUACCAAAUUAUCUUUGUCUGAAAGCAAUAACAAGUGAAACAAAAACAAUAAUGAAAGCCAUUCAAUUU
rnacentral:lncRNA from 1 species